GAGGAGCCCGAGUCCUAUCAUGGUAGUUGGUGAGGUAACGGCUCACCAAGCCUUUGACGGGUAGCCGGCCUGAAAGGGUGAACGGCCACACUGGCACUGAGACACGGGCCAGACUCCUACGGGAGGCAGCAGUGGGGAAUUUUGGACAAUGGGGGCAACCCUGAUCCAGCGACGCCGCGUGGAGGACGAAGGUCUUCGGAUUGUAAACUCCUUUUGGAGGGGAUGAAUGCCUGAGUGAAAAACUCAGGGUGACAGUACUCUCUGAAUAAGCCACGGCUAACUACGUGCCAGCAGCCGCGGUAAUACGUAGGUGGCAAGCGUUACUCGGAAUCACUAGGCGUAAAGCGCAGGUAGGCGGUUUGGUAAGUCUGUUGUGAAAGCUCCCGGCUCAACUGGGAGAGGCCAACGGAAACUACCAGGCUAGAGUGCGGUAGAGGAGGCUAGAAUUCCCGGUGUAGCGGUGAAAUGCGUAGAUAUCGGGAGG
rnacentral:rRNA from 1 species